AUUGAACGCUGGCGGCAGGCCUAACACAUGCAAGCCGAGCGGAUGAAGGGAGCUUGCUCCUGGAUUCAGCGGCGGACGGGUGAGUAAUGCCUAGGAAUCUGCCUGGUAGCGGGGGAUAACGUCCGGAAACGGGCGCUAAUACCGCAUACGUCCUGAGGGAGAAAGUGGGGGAUCUUCGGACCUCACGCUAUCAGAUGAGCCUAGGUCGGAUUAGCUAGUUGGUGGGGUAAAGGCCUACCAAGGCGACGAUCCGUAACUGGUCUGAGAGGAUGAUCAGUCACAUUGGAACUGCGACACGUUCCGGACUACUACGGGAGGCAGCAGCGGGGAAUAUUGGACAAUGGGCGCAGACCUGAUCCAGCCAUGCCGAGUGUGUGAAGAAGGUCUUCGGAUUGUAAAGCACUUUAAGUUGGGAGGAAGGGCAGUAAGUUAAUACCUUGCUGUUUUGACGUUACCAACAGAAUAAGCACCGCCUAACUUCGUG
rnacentral:rRNA from 1 species